CGGAACAUAAGGCGGGCAAGAGAGUUUGUUUCUUCUCUCUUCAAUGGAAGGCGGCGAACAGGUUCUCCCUUCGGCCACCACCGUCGCCGCCGCCGGCUAUCCCAACGUCUCUCCUCCUCCGCUCGCUGAUCCUGUCGGUGCUUCCGAUCUCGCUGCUGCUGCCUCGGACGACGUUGUUGCGGAACCUGAAAUUCACGCGCUGAUUUCAGACGAAGAGCACGAUCACGAUCACGAUCACGAGCAUGAGCAUGAGCAUGACCAUGACCUCGAGCACGAUCACGAGCAUGAGCAUGACCACCAC
rnacentral:lncRNA from 1 species